AAUAAAAUAAUAUUCUCUAUAUUCCCUGUGAACGAUUAUUAUCAAUUUGUUAAAAAAAAUUCAAAUAAGAACAAACGACUAUGAUCAACCUGUUCAAAAAAAGUAUUCAUAUCUAUCUAAAAAUUUAAUUCUACAAACGAUUAUGAUCAAUUUAUUAAAAGUAUUUCAAAUAAAAACGAACGAUUAUAAUCAAUUUGUUAAAAAAUAGCAUUACUUCCCAUCUAUUUUACAUUAAAAUUUAAAUAUGAGUUUAAAGCAUAAAUUAAAUUUAAUUUUUGAUAUCAAAUUUGACUUAACAAUUAAAAUAUUUUAAUUAUAUAAUAGAUCAAAAUUAAAUUUUAAAUUUUGAAAUAAAUAUAAGUUAAAGUUUGAUGUUUUAGUUUAAGACAUAUAUUUAAAUUUUAGAUUCGUCAUAAAUUAAAAAAUAUAAAAAAAUAUUUAAUGUAUAUAAAAAGAAACAAUAUAAAAUAUUGCAAAUAUUUUCUAAUAAAAUAUAACAUAUAAAUUUAUAAAUUAUAAUUUUUAUUGUAAAUUUUAAAUAAAUAUAAUGUACAAAUUUAUAUUGAUUUAAACUAAAUCAAAAUAAUUAUUACGUGCAUUUGCACGUACACUCAACUAGGAUAUAUAUACAUAUAUAGUGUAGAGCUACUAUGCUAUCAGAAGUAUAGAGAGUUUUAUACUUCUGACUUUUUGACCCUUAGAUUAAAAAUUAUAUGGUUGGGAUUUACGGUCCCCCCUAGGAUUGAGUAGUACCCCUAGGGUUGAGUGGUCCCUACAGGGUAAUAGUAUUAAUCCAAAGGUUAAAAAUGAUCAAAAAGGUUUGUCUAAGGGUCAAAAAGUCGGAAGCACCAGAUUCUCUAUACUUCCGAUAGCAUAUAUAGUAGCUCUACUAUAUAUAUAUUUGCUUCAAAUAUAUGUCUCGGAUAUAUUUUUUUGAAAUAUAUAAUUCUGCUAUUAAUACAUGUUAAGUCAUUUUGAAUUAAACUCCCGUUAAAUUUCUAUCAAAGUUAAAAAAGAGUCAAGAUACCGCUUUUAUUUUUAACUUAAGAAUAAAUAAGAAAAAUUGAUGACAGUAAUAGGGUAUAUUUGAAAGAGCCAAAAGGCUAAAUAUAUUUUUUGCCCUAACUUAACUUUACAGAAAUAACGAUUGUUACUAACGGUUCAUUAACAGAAUUUAACUGUAGGGAUAUAUUUAAAAAACUUAUAAUGUUAAAAGAUAUCUUUUAUAUUAAACUUUUAAGAAAGAUAAAUAAGAAAAAGUCUGAAACUAUUCCGGAGUGUAUAAGCAAAUGCCCUAGUAUAAAACUAAUAUAAUAUGACGGUCGAUACAAUUCAUUUUAAAAAAAAGACUUAAGAGAACUAAUUUAAAACCAACAAAUCAGCGUGAGUAAAAUAUUGUAAAACUUGUGAGUGUAAGUUGGAGAAACAAUUACAAAUUCCUGUUGAGUUCUAGAAUUUACAACAUUACUUAAAUGAACAUUUUAACUCGAAAAAACAAUGACUUUUUCAACUAAUAUGAAAACAAACAGUCUCUUAUUAAACUCAAGUGUUAGCAUACCUAUUUCUUAAAAAAAAAAUAAUACUCUUAUAAUUAAUUAUGUGUACCUUAUCAUCAAUGUAACUGGCCCAAAAGCGGGCAAUCGCCCGCUCGUAGGGAUCAGAGGGGAGAAUAGCAGGUCCACAGGCACCCCAAACAUCGUCGAUGUAUUGGAGGAUGAUCGUGGACUCGCAAAUGGACUGAUCCUUGUGGAUCAAAACGGGCACCUUCUUGUACACUGGAUUGGAUCUGAGGAGGAGCUCACUCUUAUUUUCCCAAAGCUGUUGCUCCAGAUACUCGUAGCUCACCCCCUUGAGUUCCAAAGCAAUUUGUACUCUAAGUACGUAGGGGCUCGCCCAUGAUCCAAGGAGCUUCACUUCCUUUGCCAUUUUUCUACAAAAUGAACCCAAAAAGUUAGGGAAAAGAUGGUUUUUUUAGAAAGUGCUAACUUAAUUUGGAUGUGGUUAAUUUUGAUGUGUACAAGAGCAUAAGGGGUAUUUAUAAUGUGGAAAGAGGGAAUAUGUGAGAAUUUUUUAUUAAAAAUAAGGGUGUUAAAGCUUGGUGAGGUUGAUCUGUAGGUGAUUUUACAUGGUCAAAGUUUAAAUAAAGCAUUCUGGCUUGAGGCUGUUGACUCAAGUGGUCGGCAUUCUGUCCUGCGACGAAAAGUCAGGUUGAAUCGAGUCAUAUUCGAAAUGACAAGAGAUCAGGUUAGAUUGAGUCAUAUUCGAAGUGGUGUGAAGCUACUUAGACUAAAUCACAAUAGAAAUCCGUAUGCGUUGUUUUUAUACGUUUUAGACGAAUUGGUUGUGUAUUUCUAAUAGCUCGAGUUUUUAAGAUUAAUAAUAGUUAGUACCAACGAUCCGACAGAAACCAUAAGUUUUAGUCUAAUUAUUCUGAAGGAAAAUUGUAACAAGCUUUGGGAGAAAUCGGCUAGUUAGCUUUUAGUAUGAUUUCGUAAUAAAAGAUCCCAAGUUCAAAUUAAUUUAAAAAGUUUGGGUCUAGAACAUAGUUGGUUGAGUUCAAAUUAACCCAAAAAAGUAAAGGUAAAUUGACAGAGAAAAAAACCACUUACAUCAUCUACAGGCGAAAUUAUAAUUUUUAUACUAAUAUUCUCAAAACAAUUUUACAUGAUGGCCGAGUUUAUAGUUUGAUUCUAAUACUAUGUUACCCAGAAAAUUUUAAAUAGACAAAAUAAAAACUACCCAAAAAUGCAUUAAAUUAAUGAAUUAUGUUAAAAAUAUCCUCUAUUUCAGUGAUUAAGAAUUUUUGACUAAGUUACCAUUAGUUAUACAUAGUAAUUAUAAAUAAAUGUGUAGUAUCACGUCGGGGUAUCAAAUUUAGUUUUGUCAAACAAUUACUCGGUUUUGUUUAUAAUUCAAUUUAUGAAUGUAUUUUUAAGGUACUUAAGUUCAUCGUUUAUUUUUUUAUAUCAAUAUCAUAUGGGUCUCAUUUUAAUCAUAAUAAAUAAUUAACUAAAACUAAAAUUAUAUUGUACAAUUUUUUUUCCUUUGUGUAAAUUAAUAUGAUUUUUUUAUUAUUAUUUGUACGGCGAAGCUUGUUGCAAUUAAUUAAUUUUAAUUUGGUAUACAUUCAAUUGUAUUUGUAAUGUUUUCAAACAAAAUAAUGUUUAAGUUAAUUAAAAAUAUAUAUAUAAUAGAUAAUAGGCAAAAUGAAAAUUUUAUACAAUUUUUUAAUGAAUUAUUAGUAAUUUGAGUACUUACGAUAGUUUUUCUAAAUUAGACUGAUAUUUUUAAUGUUAACACUUUUUUUUAAAAAAAAAAGAUAGCAUGCUACCGCUUCAUUCAUAAAGAAAUUGAACUAAGCAACAUACUGAGGCAGCGGAGCCUCGAGUCGAACCCGAAAAAACAAAAAAAAUCUAAGUUACUGUGAAACACAGUAAGUCUUCCACAUGUGUCUAAAUUCGCGGGAUUGCACCGAAAAAAGCUCAAGUUGCAAUUUUUUUAUUGAAAUAUUCUCUCAUUCCGCUCCAACCAAAUAGUCCACCGCCUUUGAAUCUACUAGACCUCCAAAGCCCUCUAGUAGAGUAGCAUUGCGCGAAGAGGUGAUCUACUAUCUCAGGCUCCACCCUACACAUGGCACACUUUUAAUUAUCUAUCGAAUACAAGGUGAGAAAAAGGGUAUGUACAUAUGAAAUUAACUCUAUAAAUUAAUAAAUCAAAGUUAUUUUCUUGGGUUUUAAGAAACAAAAUCCGAAGAAUCUUGAAUGGCAAAAUUUGAUCUUGCGCAACAGGCUAAGAAUCUCUCGCCAAAAAAUUGCUUACCUCUCAUUAACCUUAAAAAUUUGUCCUUAAAUGAUUAAUAAACUUAAACAGCGUGACUUUCAAAGCUCAUCAAAUAUAAAUUAAACGCAUUAGUUAAAUGUUGGAUAAAGAAUUUGCUUCAUUUCGUCAUUGCUUGCGUAUGCAAAUUUUUAACUUGGUCAAUAGUCAUCUUCAUGAUUUAGUUAUAAUAUAUAUAUAUAUAUAUAUAUAUAUAUAGNAAAGUUUAUUCAAUUUCUCAAACCAUAUACCACACUCUCCCCUGCCACCGCCACUUCCCCUCCUACGUACUACCAAACUUGCGAAUGCAAAUCAGUUAGCCGCGGCAGCAUUCAUCCUGGCCUGAACUUCUUUUGCAUACUCCAUCAGCUUCCCGGCUUCCGGCAUCAGCUUCUUCACCACCGCUGCAGCGCGAAAGCGCUCCGCCCACGCCAUCAAGAGCGGAAACUUCGCGUUGUCGAGGAGUUUGAUGCCGCGCAUGAUCUCGAUCACCUCGAUCCAGCGCAAGGAACUCCCGAGAACGAUGUCGAGGUAGCCCACAUCGUCGCCGCCGAAAAAGCGCUUCCCUCUGGAGCUCUUCUCGUAAGCUUCCUCUAAAAGCUCGAGUCCUAAAAUGGCUUGUUCUGCUGCAGCCGCGUUCUCCUCGUCUGUUUUACCUCUUAUAAGUCCAACUAAACUUGGGCCAAACUGCAUAUUUUUAAAGCACGGAAUGGAAAUGAUCAGUUUAAACUAAUAAAAUACGAUGAUAAUCAUUAGAAAAUAUAUAUAAAACUAAGGACUAUUAAAAACUAACAUGUAAUUAAAUCACCGCAAGUAACUUUUAAGUGAGAGAAACAGCUACAAAUUACUGUAACUUUUUCUGCUUACAUGGAAACAAACAAUCUCUUAUUAAACUCUAUUGGUAGCAUACCUAUUUCUUAAAAAAAAAAAAAAAAAAAACUCAUGUAAUUAAUAAUUAAUUAUGUGUACCUUAUCAUCAAUGUAACUGACCCAAAAGCACGCGAUCGCCCGCUCGUAGGGAUCAGAGGGGAGAAUAGCAGGUCCACAGGCACCCCAAACUUCGUCCAUGUAUUGGAGGAUGAUCGCGGACUCGCAAAUGGGCUGAUCCUUGUGGAUCAAAACUGGCACCCUCUUGUACACUGGAUUGGAUCUGAGGAGGAGCUC
rnacentral:lncRNA from 1 species